rnacentral:lncRNA from 1 species
AGCGAGCGAGAGCGGAUUGGGGCUUUGAAGAAAAACAAAGACGAAGCUUCGUUCCUCAGCAAAGUGUUCAUUUCUUUUUCGCCAGGUUUCAUUCUCUUUCUUUUUUGAUUGGAUGAUGGAAAAACCAGAAAGCUACGGCUUGAAAGCUUACCUUCUUCUCUUUUGGAGAAAGGGCUUUCUUUAUAGAUGAAGACGUUGAGUAAGGGGGGCGGAGCUUGAAGAGCGAAGCGAGCUGCGCUAGCCUAUUACGUUUUUCAGCAGCAAGCUACGGUCUAACGCUUGCCUCCGGUGGCUAACCGGGCGAAAACUCCAAAACUAGGGUUCCAAACCUUUCUCUAAUAAUCAGGUAAGCUUUCAAGCCCCUUGACUUUCUAUUAGAUUAGUUUAGUCAAGGGCGCUGUGAACUGUAAUUGUGAAAAGGUUGGAAGAUCUGGCCAAAGAAGGUGAUAGCCCUGUAGAUUCGUUCCCAUGGUUCGAUCCUUCCCAGUAAAACGCGGCGUGUUCGAAUUCUGAUCGCUUUUACGCGAGAAAGGGGGACCACCUCUAAGCCUAAGUAUUCCUCAAUGACCGAUAGCGUACAAGUACCGUGAGGGAAAGGUGAAAAGAACCCUAGUUAGGGAGUUCAAUAGAGAACCAGAGAUCCGAUGCGAACAAUCAGUCGAAGGAGCGGAGCUUAGAGCCUUGAUUUUCUAUAUUAGUCAAACGCACUCACUCUAACAGCGUACCUUUUGCACGAUGGGUCAGCGAGGAAAUGGGAAGAGCGGCUUAAGCCAUUAGGUGUAGGCGCUUUCCAGAGGUGGAAUCUUCUAGUUCUUCCUAUUUGACCCGAAACCGACCGAUCUAGCCAUGAGCAGGUUGAAGAGAGCUCUAACAGGCCUUGGAGGACCGAACCCACGUAUGUGGCAAAAUACGGGGAUGACUUGUGGCUAGGGGUGAAAGGCCAACCAAGAUCGGAUAUAGCUGGUUUUCCGCGAAAUCUAUUUCAGUAGAGCGUAUGAUGUCGAUGGCCCGAGGUAGAGCACUCAAUGGGCUAGGGUGGCCCCAUUUCGCCUUACCAACCCCAAGGAAACUCCGAAUACAGGCCUAGAUCGUUUGUACAGACAGACUUUUUGGGUGCUAAGAUCCAAAGUCGAGAGGGAAACAGCCCAGAUCGUACGCUAAGGUCCCUAAGCAAUCACUUAGUGGAAAAGGAAGUGAUCGAGCGAUGACAACCAGGAGGUGGGCUUGGAAGCAGCCAUCCUUUGAAGAAAGCGUAAUAGCUCACUGGUCUAGCUCCAUGGCACCGAAAAUGUAUCAGGGCUCAAGUGAUUCACCGAAGCGACGAGACCUUGAAAGCAGUUUUUUCAAGUGUCAGUAGCGAAACGUUCUGUCAAUCGGGGAAGGUUUUUAGUGACAAGACCUGGAGAUAUUAGAAGUGAGAAUGCUGACAUGAGUAACGAUAAAUCUAACUUGUUUCGACCUGAGAUAAUAAGCUCAUGAGCUUGGUCUUACUUCACUGUCGAGAAACGAAAGAAGACUUCCAUCUCCAAGUUUAACUCAGACGUAGCUCCCUUCUUUUUGGGUGUGAAGCAGUGUCAAACCAAAAUACCCAACAAGCAUUAGCUCUCCCUGAAAAGGAGGUGAUCCAGCCGCACCUUCCAAUACGGCUACCCUUCAUCAAGAAAGCUUGCAUAAGAGAUCCUUCUUAUUGCUCUAUCUAGAAUGAAAAUCUAAAGAUAAAAAUCAAUGUUAGGCUGUGGGGCCACAAGGGCUGGGACCCCUAAGGAGAGGUCAACGAAUGCUCUUCGAAUUGGUCUAUAGCCGAUGAACCGACCAGGACACCCCCCCUUUCUGCCAUAUCUCUCACUGCCUCAUACUAGCUAUCCCUAGCCGAAAAAAGUAUGAAUAAAGUAGUUGAGUGCCUUUCCUUCCCCUAUAUGUGUUUGCCACCACCCGACUUAAUGGUAAGAAAGCCCGCCUCCUAAGAAUGAAGGAAUGGAUUAAUCACCUUUGGGGCUGGUGGAUGGAUCACCUUUCCUUAACAUAGAUGGUGGAUGGGCUUCACUUAACAAAGAAGAGAAUGGGCCAUAUGGGUGCCUACAUUGUUAGUCUAUUUGAUUUAAGGGAAGAGAUAUUUAUUGAAUAGAAAGAAUGAAACCUGUACCAUCUUAUCGCCAACCGUGCUUCCUACCAACUCCGCCUAUCCCAGACAGUCGGUCCUAUUGAUUUAGCCGCACCUGAACCCGCAACAACUACCUCUAGUCCGAAAGCAACUUACUUUUCUGAUGAAUCUUAGCUUGCUUUUUGAAUACGGUCAAAGUGGGACAUCCCUUGUUCUCGCAUUGCCUUCUUUCCUAGGGAAUUCAAUCACAUCGGAUCAGUGAGCUAAAGUCAGUCCCUCAACAGCUAAAGUAACUGCUUGAUCUGUCACCCUCCGUGAUUCAAGCCUGUCACCAAGCCUUAAGUCAAAAGCUCUGGUUUCAAGCCCAGGGCACCAAGUGAAUCAAAGCAAGAGCUUACUCAGAGCUCGAACUCUAUUUAAAUCAAAGUCAAGCGAAGCAAAGCAAGCCAGCCAAAGAGGGAUAGGCAUGAUCAUUCUAUUCUAAAGGUAGAGAUCUUGAACUAAGGACUGAAAGCUAGAAGUUCUCUAUGUGAACAUAGGAUCCUAUAUAAACAACCAGAAAUCCUAGACUAACUGCUCUAGAGGAAACCAACUGGAGAAAGCCAGAGGAUGGAAGUCACUCAGUUAAGAGGAUUAGGGAAUAAACGAAAGAAAGAAAGCUUAACUCGCUCGAACUUCCGAGGGCCAGUGAACUUCCUGGGGUAUUUUAUUCCUUAGUAGCUUUGACAACAUUCGUCUCUGUGUGAGCCCUCAUCUCAUGCUCCUACUACCUCUUAACUUCAAGUGGGAGUGAUGGACGAGUGAAGAUCGCCAACUCUUUCUUCCCCGUGAAUUGAAUAUCAACUGAAAUCGGGCGGACCGGCUUCUCCCUUUGAGCAUAGCAUGCUUUUGGGGAGUAAGUCACUUAAUAUAGUAUAUUAUGCGAGAAUCGAUUCUUACAUCACAUCAAAAUAGCAUGUCUAUAUACGGAUCCUACAAUUCCCUAUGAAUCUCCCUGACAACCCCUUCAAUCCAUCUUCAUCUUGGCUGGCAGCCUAGAUUGAGCCCUGGGACUGAUCUUCCCGUUGGCUUUACUGCCGCAGUACUCAUAGUGAAAGGUCAGCGGGGGGCAUAGCGAAAUUCCUCACCGAGAUGACUGGACAACCUAUCGACCAGAUCGCACCAGCAGAGCGAUUCAAAGCCUCUUUGGAGCGGUCAUUUCUCAGUCUGUCAAUUUCAGGGUAGUAAGCGCCAGCUGCAAGCUUUCGGUUAAUGCCAUCCAAUCUUCGGUACAAAAUUUCCUUCUUCUAUUUCAUAUUUCCAAACACUUCCUUAUUCCAAAAGCUCAAUGCCUCAAAUAUUGCACCUCUAAUGGAUCACAAAACACCACUACCAAGCAGAUGAGAGGAGAGAGAGAGGAGGGAAGUACUUAGAAUAUCGGCUAGGGUUUCUUCUUGGCGAACAUUGGCCGAAAAUCCUAAGCCUAUGGGGUCUUUAUAUAGCUGAGGGCUGCUAGGUUUUCUGAAGGAAACCCUAAUUUCCUAAUUAAGGCUCAAGCAUCCCAUGGACUCCUACUAACAAGCCUUAGACAAAAUCUAUAGGCCCCCCUAUAGAUUUUCGUCCACUCCUAAUUAAGGAGUCCAUUAGCUCAGUUUCCCAAUUAUCAAUGAUUUGCAAAACAGACCCUGUUCUUUUAAUCAGUUCCUUUAAUCCUAACAUUAAUUCCAAAUUAAAUUCUGAUUAAAUACUAAUUAAAUAACAUGAUUUCUAAUUAAUAUAUUAUUUUCAUAAUACAUUAAUAAAUAAAUUUAUUAUUCCAAAUAAUAAAUUCAACCUCUUUCUCUAAAAGUUAUCCUUUCAAGUUGCUAGGCUGAAGGCAUCCCAAAAAGACCAGGCUACUAUCAAAUCAAGUACAUACCAGUUCUAUUAAUGGUCUUAGACACCUAAUGCAAUAGUCUCCCACUUGGAGAUGUUUAAUAACUAUAGUUGCAAGUAUGAUUUCAAAAUUUAACCAACAAUCGUUGCUUUCAAAAGCCGCAGUCUAACUCUGACCUAGUUAGUUAUGUGUCCUAAAGAUAAGAGAUUAUAUAAUCCUCUGUUCCGCAAGAUAACAUGUGAACAAAGACAUGGAAAAAAUCAUUCUCAUUGUCCAACAAUUUGUUUCCUAAUUUCUGAUUUGUAUGAUGAAGAACUUAAUUGAACACAUCAAUUCAAUCCUGACCGGACCCGUGACAUAAGUCAACACAAAAUCAUCGAGGUUCCAAGAUAUCGCUUUUACCCAUUGGGAUAAAAGGAAAAGAUAAAGUUUGACUUAUAUGAUUGUACUAUUUACUUAUCAAAUGGUACACAACAAUACAUUUUAUAACAUCAAGUUGCUGAUGCAUUUACGUAUUAUCAAUGCACAACCAACUCAUAAACAACAACUCAUAUAUUUCAGUUUAAAGACUAUACGAUAUUAUCUUCUCAUAAUUACUCAUGAUAAAUUCCAUGAAGUAAUUUUAUGAGUGUGGGUUUAAUCGAAUACUCAAAUCCCUAUUUCAAGAUUACUUAUGAAUAUUGCAGCAAACUAUUGCGAUGUCUUCUAGGGAGCAAGUGGCCGAUUUUCCUUAGCCAUGGAGUCCUUAUAUAGGGUAGAGACUAGGGUUUCAGUCCUUAUCCUUAUCUGAUUGCUUGCCCACCAAGCAUCCCAUAAGAUAAGUCUAGAACCUUAUCCAUGGACAAUUUCUAGGGCCUUAUCCCCUUGAAUUCGUCCACCCUAUCCAUAGGGCAUCCAUUGCCCUAAUUUGCAACUAUCACAUAAUUACAAUUCAACCACUCUAGUUUAAUUAAUUACAUUUGAUAACAAAAUUAAUUCUUAAUUAAUUAUUGAUCAAUAUUAAUUAAACAAAUAUGAUUUUUCCUUUAAUAUAUUAUUCUUAUAAUAUAUUAAUAAAUCAUAAUAACCUCUUUCUCUAUUAUUUCUCCAGUAAGGUUGCUUUGGUGAAGGCAACCCAAAAGGACCAUGCACAACUGGGUUAAGUACUUACAAAAUAUGGUUACGGGCUGAGACACUAAUCCAACAGUCUCCCACUUGGAUAAUUCUAGUAACCAUAAAUGCAAGCAUAAAUCAAUUAGCAAUGGUAGCUCUCAAAGAUGCUGUCAAACUCUGAUCUUAUCAGCAACCUGUCCUUUAGAUAAGGGAUCGUAUAGUCCUCUGUUUCAGAUAUCGUGCGGACAAUCUCAUGGAACAUAGUCAUACUUAUUGUCCAGCAGUUUGUUUCUCGAUCUCAAAUUCAUUUGACAUAGAACUUAAUUGAACACAUCAAUUCAGUCCUGACUGGGCCCGACACAAAAGUCGAAUGAAAUCAUCGAGGGGCCCUGAUAUCGCGUUUACCCUGUUAGGAUAAAAGGAACAGAUAAAUUUUGACUUAUAUGCAUUCACUAUUCAUUAAUCAAAUUAUACACAACAAUGCAUUUUAUGACAUCAAGUUACUGAUGCGUUUUCGCAUUAUCAAUGCACUAUCAAUUAGCGAACAAUAAACCUGUAACGCCCCGGGUUUUCUCGGUACGUUUGGUUAUUUUAAUUUAAUUAUCCAUGUAACCUUGGGUUAAUUUAUUUAACCAAUGUCUGAUUUCUUAUGUUAUUGGACUCUUUUGAUCAUCUUGUAAACUCCUUUUAUUGAAGUCCAUGGGCUAUGGGCCUAUUUGCAAAGUCCAUCUAGUUAAUAGUACUUAAUGUGUAAAUUGAAUCAUUUGGAACACACACAAGGAAAACACUCUAAACCCUCCCUCUCUCUCAAAAAUCGUCCCUCUCUCUCUCUUUGGGAUCAAGAGCAGCCAAGGGGCUGUUUGGAGCUUAAUUCUUGUUCAUUUCCAGCCUUGAUUCGUAUUGGUAUGAACCUCCUUAUCCUUUCUUACAACUUGAUUCAUAACCUUGUUCUAGUUUUAUGAUUUCAUCUUCACCUCUUCUCCUUCUUAUUUUAUUUGUAAUUGUAUGUUAUACAUCAUCUCAAGAUCCUAUCUUCACCCCAUAUAUGGUGGAUGAUGGAUCUAGGGGAUUACAUGUGGCAAAAGAUCAUGGAAACCCUAAAAGGGAGAAUGAUGAUUUUAUGUGCUUAUGUUUAUUUUCAUGUUGAUUAUUAUUACAUCCUUGUGGCUAAAUGAAAUCCUAAUGAUCCCUAACCCUUUUUAGUACCACCAUUAUCAUGGGGACUGAAUUGGGAUGAUGAACACAUCUUAAAAUGUGUUUCAAAAGGAGAAGGAUGGAUAAGCCAAAAAGGAAUCACGGGUGGCUACGAUUCUGUUUUCCAUCAGAUCUGUAGUCAUUUUGUAAAAAUCAUAUCUGGAGCUCUAGAACUCAAACGGACCCCAAACCAGUUCCAAAAGUUCACAAAUUGAGUUGGCUAACUUUCUUAAGAAGGCCAACCUCACUGAUAAGGGCUUUAUCUAUGUGAAAGAAUGGCAUCUUUGCUGUUAGGUCUGAUCCGGGUCUGUUCUGAUAUGUCAUUUUGUUUUCAUCAUUUCUAAGGCUUGGAAAAGGAUCCAGAGUGAUUCCAAGUUUCUAUAUGUUCCUUAUAUUAUGAAUUUAAGAUCUGGAGAAUAUGGGGUGUUAUUUCCAAUUAUAAAUUGGUUAGAAUGGAUCCACACUCCAGGUCAGUGGGCAGUCACCAGCUUUUGCUAGUGCUGUGAUUGUCCACAAUGUGAAUUUUAUAUCUGGAGUUUGAGAGAUGCUUUUCAUUCAAUUCCAACUCUGAGACUUUCACUUGUAUGUCCUUUACUUCUCUUAAUUUUCUUUUGGACGAAUUCUACUCACAAGUUGGGUAGAAUUGGCCAACAUCACUUGACUGUAUUGUUGGAGACAGAAGUGAUACACCAUUUUGUAAAAUUCAUAUUUAAUUCAUCUUUUGGAGUUAGAAUGAGUUCUUUAUAGUUAUGGAAUCCUGAGCAAUCAUAGUUUCCUAUAAAAUUUAGUUAAAGCUAUGUUUCUGUUUUAGAUUUUGGAGUAAAUCCGUUUUGAACAGCAGGUCUGUUUUAGAGACCUUGCUGUGAUUACUCUUUUCUCAACUCAUAGCUUCAUUACUUCUCGUUUCUAACCUUUAGUCCUUCUUAGGCGAGGUUUUGAAGUUUGCUCAAGCUUGGUAGCAUUAUUUGAUUGUUAGCCAUCCUUAAUACUCACUCAAGGUGAGUUCUCUCACACCGUUGUAUUGAUGAUUGUGUUUGCUAGUUAGCUCGUGUGUGAUUAUUUGAAUUUAUUAUAAAAGCAUGCUAUAUAAGUAUUGUUUUAAUUCGUACAUGUGCACUGUAUGUAACUAAUUAUGGAUAUGGGGACACCACCAAAGGAUACGGAUUUACCGGUGCGGUGGGUAGGUAAGAUCACCAACGUAAUACUCUUCGUGAGGUGCGGUGAUUAGGGCCAAAUGAUACGGGAUCUUCCCGGUGCGGUUCAAACCUACAAGUCCUUCUCGUAAUAUAGACAUUGAUUCGUUCUUUGCCUUUAUCAUUAUAAUUGGAAAAUGGAUUAGGGCUAGUAAAUAUGAAUGUUAGUACAAUGUCUGUGUUUGAAUUCACUAAGCUUCGUGCUUACGUUUUUCCCUUAUAACUUUUCAGGUGUUAAGAUUAAAGAGGCUAAGGCUUGACAUGGAGCAUCGGGACAUCGCUACUAGUUAUUUUGUUGGGACCUUAUUAUUGUUAUUACUUCCGCACUUAUUUUAUAUGAUUAUUAAGUUGAUGGAUUAUUUUAUGACUAUUUCAGUUGUUUUAAUUUAAUUUAAGAUGGGUUUUAAAAGUUUAAAUUUUUUGCAAAAAAAAAAAAUUGGGUGUCACAAAACCAUAUAUCUUGGUUUUAAGACCAUAUGAUAUUAUCGUCUUGCGAUCACCCAUGAUAAAUUCCUUGAAGUGAUUCCAACAAGCGCGGGUUUAUUCCAAUGCUCUAAACUUAUUCAUAAGCACUCAUGAACGUUGUAGCAAACCCUUGUUAUGUCUAAUGCCUUUCAGACAAUCUACAACAAUUCAUUACAGUCUUCAUUCAUACCUAGUUCCAACAUAUGAACGACUGUGGACCGUUUGAAUAAUUCGCUUAUUCUUAAUUAACACAAUUAUUCAAGAAGUCAAAACAUGCAAAGUGAAAUAAUAGUUAAACAAUUAACAUAAGAUAGAAACUUUAAAUAAUACUCCUUUAUUUAAUCAUCAAAUUUCAAUUACAUUUAUCUAUUACACGUAUCUAAACUAUCUAAUCCAAACUAAUAUCGUCCUUCAGCCCAAUGCUCCUAGAGUGCUGCAAGUGCUUAACCCUACUUAGUCCCUUCGUAAGCGGAUCUACUGGGUUAUCCUCUGAUGAUAACCUCUUUACUAUGAGGAGUCCUUCUUCUACCCGAUGUAUAAAUAAAGUGAUAUUUUCUAUCGAUAUGUCGGGAUCUACCAUGAUCCCUCAGUUCCUUGGUCAAGGCAACCGCUCCGUCAUUCUCAAAGAAAUUUUCCAUAGGCUCUUUUAUGGCAGGUACAAAUACAAGGUCUCCAAUGAAGUUCUUCAACCAUAUCACCUCCUUUGACGCUUUGCUCACUGCAAUGUACUCUGAUUCGGACGUUGAGUCGGCUACGGUUUCUUGCUUGGAACUUUUCCAUGUCACUGCUACUCCAUUAAGGGUAAAGACCCAGCCCGACUGCGAACGAUAGUUGUCCUUGUCGGUCUGGAAACUGGCGUCACUAUACCCCCGCACCUUUAAGUUAUCACUCCCUCCGAGGACUAGAAACCAUUCCUUUGUCCUCCGAAGGUACUUAAGAAUAUUCUUGAUUGCGAUCCAAUGUGCUUUUCCAGGGUUCCCUUGAUAUCUACUGACCAUGCUCAAAGCGAAGGCCACAUCAUGGCGUGUACAAGUCAUAGCAUACAUGAUCGAGCCAACUGCGGAAGCGUAAGGUACUCAGCUCAUCUAUGCUAUCUCGGCUUCGAUACCCAAAAUUUGAGUCCUACUCAACUUGGAAUUACUUUGGAUUGGUGUAACAGCCCAAAAUCUCAAGUAUUGUUAAAUUGCAUUUUGGGGUGUUUUAAAGGGGAGACUCGGCGAGUUGGAGCCAGACUCGCCGAGUAGGGUCGCAGAUUUGGUCGCGGGUUCGCGACUGGACUCGACGAGUCCAGGUAUGGACUCGGCGAGUCGACGCUGUUCAGCAGAAACCCUAGCCGUUUCGUAUUGGGUCGUAUUUAAGGGUUGUAUGUCGUCAUUUCACGUCUUUUGGCCGAUUGUGGAGAACCCUAGACGACUGUGGCAUUUGGAGCAAAACUUGAAGGCCAUUAUUGACUUUGAAGGAAUUAUGGUGCAAGAAGAGGAAGGGUUUUGGCCAAAGGAAGAGCAAGGAGGUUGAGUUCUGAGGUUUGGGGACACAGAGAGUAUGUUUUCAGGUAAGGUUUCGGAUCAUUCCUGUUAUUUUGAUGUGUACACGAAUUUAGGGUUUAUGAAACCCAUUUGGAGAUUUGAUGGAUUAUUAUGUUGUUAUACAAAGGUUUCUACCCUAGUAAUAGGAUGAUUAGAGGUNNNNNNNNNNNNNNNNNNNNNNNNNNNNNNNNNNNNNNNNNNNNNNNNNNNNNNNNNNNNNNNNNNNNNNNNNNNNNNNNNNNNNNNNNNNNNNNNNNNNNNNNNNNNNNNNNNNNNNNNNNNNNNNNNNNNNNNNNNNNNNNNNNNNNNNNNNNNNNNNNNNNNNNNNNNNNNNNNNNNNNNNNNNNNNNNNNNNNNNNNNNNNNNNNNNNNNNNNNNNNNNNNNNNNNNNNNNNNNNNNNNNNNNNNNNNNNNNNNNNNNNNNNNNNNNNNNNNNNNNNNNNNNNNNNNNNNNNNNNNNNNNNNNNNNNNNNNNNNNNNNNNNNNNNNNNNNNNNNNNNNNNNNNNNNNNNNNNNNNNNNNNNNNNNNNNNNNNNNNNNNNNNNNNNNNNNNNNNNNNNNNNNNNNNNNNNNNNNNNNNNNNNNNNNNNNNNNNNNNNNNNNNNNNNNNNNNNNNNNNNNNNNNNNNNNNNNNNNNNNNNNNNNNNNNNNNNNNNNNNNNNNNNNNNNNNNNNNNNNNNNNNNNNNNNNNNNNNNNNNNNNNNNNNNNNNNNNNNNNNNNNNNNNNNNNNNNNNNNNNNNNNNNNNNNNNNNNNNNNNNNNNNNNNNNNNNNNNNNNNNNNNNNNNNNNNNNNNNNNNNNNNNNNNNNNNNNNNNNNNNNNNNNNNNNNNNNNNNNNNNNNNNNNNNNNNNNNNNNNNNNNNNNNNNNNNNNNNNNNNNNNNNNNNNNNNNNNNNNNNNNNNNNNNNNNNNNNNNNNNNNNNNNNNNNNNNNNNNNNNNNNNNNNNNNNNNNNNNNNNNNNNNNNNNNNNNNNNNNNNNNNNNNNNNNNNNNNNNNNNNNNNNNNNNNNNNNNNNNNNNNNNNNNNNNNNNNNNNNNNNNNNNNNNNNNNNNNNNNNNNNNNNNNNNNNNNNNNNNNNNNNNNNNNNNNNNNNNNNNNNNNNNNNUUUUAAUAUUAAAUUGAUUAUUUAAAUGAAAAUUUUGUUUUUGGAAAUCACGGUGUUACAAAUUGGUAUCAGAGCCUUGGUUUGAGGGAUUCGGACGCGCCUACGGGUAAAUCUGGACUCAAACUGAGGAAGUAAGAAAAAGUUUUCCAAAUAAAUGGUUUUCUAAAAGUGAAUAAGAGUUCAAAGAGAAAGCAAGAAAGAGCAGUGUGUACAAUCAGCCAGAGCCAAACGGUGAUUUCCCAAAAUACCCUUACUUUUGUAUUAUGAAAUAUCUAUUAUGCACUUUAUGAGACAUUAUUGCAUGCUAGAGACAGGCUAGGUAUUUCAUAUCUUAGGACUAGAGUGGCCUGAUUUGUGAUGCCUUAGUCUAGGGUUUGCUGUUAUAUGUGCGUUCUGCUUUUGUGUGUAUGUGAUGAGUGAGAGCAUCUAGUUAGGAUGCACAAGGGGUAAAGCUACGGGGUACAGAGGUACUUCCGAGGAUGAGCCGAGAAGGUGGAGCUACCACAGAUGGGAAGUCCUAUGUAUGCUUCAAUGCUCGAAUGCUGCUUGCUUUGUGCUUUGUGGAGUUAUCGAUGAUGGGAGUCAGCUACUAAGUGAGUAUGACGAUACUCAGGAGGUAGAGGGCUGGCAUCAUUAGGAACUCUUCAGCAGCUGAUAGCAAAGAAGUGGGAGGACAGCGGAAGGGACUAGGGAGUAAACCUAGCCAGAUGAGUGCGCUGGUAGAGUAGAGGAUUUCGCUGGAAAGCGAGCACGCGCGAUGAGAUGGGUGAAAGAGCAGGUUUAUCAGCUACUUAGGAACUCUGGGAUGGUCCGUGUGGAAAGUAUGGGUAGAUGUGGCAGGUAGUAUGGGCCCGUACUACUGAAAGCAGAGGACCCAUACUUGAUACAGGGGGCAUUCUGAAGGUCCUAAGGAACAGAUUGAGGGGUGAUGUUAUGGUUCGGAUACCAUACAUCGGAGCGGAUACAGAGUGAUGUUAUGGUCAGGGCACCAUACAUCGGAACAGAUUGAGAUAGAUGUUGUGGUUCGAGUGCUAUACAUUGGAGCAGAUUGAGGAGUGGUGCUAUGGUUCAGGUACCAUACACCGAAGCAUGUUGAGGAGGGAUGUCAUGGGAUGAGUACCAUGGUUCGUAGUGGAUGAUGCUUGUGGCUAUCUUGUUAUCCGGUUAUCGAUCGGACGAGCACGAGCGAGCGGGAUGCGAGGAUUCGCGAGAUCCGGCGUGAUGAGGUUGCUGCAUUGUUGCGGGUUGAGUCGCCAGAAUUGUUUGGGUCGAUCAGGACCACUAUGAUUGAAGUAGUUUGAUGAGCGAUAUGCGGCUUUCGCAGAGACGGCUGCCGCGGCGGUUACAGCGGCUGUAGCAACGGCAAAGAAAGGGGCUAGUCGGGGUUUUCAGUAUCGGGACUUCUAUUAUGCGAAGCCUCCCACAUUCGAUGGAGUUCAGGACUCGAUUGUUGCUAUGAGAUGGUUAUCAGACAUGGAGGGGUGUUUCUCCACGAGUUUAUGCCCUGCUGAUCAGAGGGUGGGGUGUGCUCUGAACCUAUUGAGGCUCGGGGCGAAGGAUUGGUGGAGAUUGACCACGAGGUCAUUUUCCGAUGCGCAGAGGGCUGCGGUUUCAUGGGAUCAAUUCAGAGGGAUGUUCAGUACUCGCUAUGUUCCGCGGGAUGAAAAGGAGAAAUUGGCUCGGAAGUUCUUUAAGCUGAGGCAGGAUUUGGAGUCGGUGACUGAGAGCACCGGGAUGUUUAUUGAGAGGGCGAUGUUUUGCCCUGAGUUCGCUUCGGAGCAGGCUCAGAUGUCCCGAUAUCCGAGUAUGCUCAAGGGGGGGUAUCAGACAGUUCGUGUCUGCGCAGAGGCGCGAGACCGUGUUGGUAUCGCAGGAGGCCGCCAUGUGGCGUGAGUUAGAGGUUGAGUUGCAGUUGCGUGAGAUGAGGCAGGCCCCGAUGCAGUCGCAGUCGGCGCCGAAACGGUCCAUGACCGUAGACGUUAGAAUGGGGGAUCGGAGCGGUCACACUUGUGGGAAGUGUGAGAGAGAUGGCACCGGAGCUUGUUGGCCCAGUGGUGCAUGCCGCAAGUGCGGAAAGGAGGGGCAUGGUGCACGGGAUUGUCGGCAGUCAGUGCCAAUUCGGGAUUUCAGGAUUUGUUAUCAGUGUCGGCAGGUUGGACAUUUGAGGGUCAACCGUCCACAGUUUCCUGCAGGACCGGUGCAGGCUCUAGCAUCGGCCACCUUGAGGAGUUCAGGAGGAGGACAGGAUGGAGCAGAGCCCAAGGGCUCAGGGUCGUGCUUAUCGGCUUGCGGCAGAGGGAGACGGAGCAGUGCCGGAGGCAGCUGCGGGUAUGAUGCUCUCUUGAUGUCUUGAGUAGCUUGCGUUGAUUGUGGCGUAUUGUUUGUGCUGGUGUCUGGUGUGGAUUUCGAUGCGGUAUUCGUUGUUUCGCGGGUUUGGCAUGGUUAUGGAUUGGUGCUUCAGGUUUUCGCUUGGCAUUCGUUGUUCCCUGAUGGUUUAGUAUGAUUAUAGUUUGGUGUUUUGGUACCGGUAGCCUUGUGCGGUUUUCGAUGCGAUAUUCAACCUUUGGCAGGUUGUGGGUUUGGUUAUGGGUUAUUGCUUGGGAAUUCCGUUGGUCAUCGUUCGUGAGGGUUGAUAGUGGAGAUGCGGCACUGGGUUGAAUGACGGGUAGCAUCUGCAGUUGUGGAGUGGAUAAUUGAAAGAUCGGAUUCUUUUGAGCGGAUUGAUCAGGGAGGAGAUGUGUUUUGCUGAGGGUUGCUUACGCUUGUGGGAAGCAGUCAGUGGGUAAAUGUUCUCUUUGUGCAGGAUGGUUCUGAAAGGUCGUUAAUGACGAUCGGUGGCAGUUAGUCAGUGCUUUAGUGGGGGAGAAUUGUAAAAUUCUCCGGGAGAUCGAUGAGUAUGUAAGGGUGCUUAGCUGUUGGGAUUCAGCAGUGUUUGUCAGCGCAAAGUAUAGGCCGACGAGAGCGAGUGUUGGGUAUGCGGGGCGAGAUACAGACCUAGGGCAUUUGAUUGUGGAGGCCUGAGAGGAGGUCGGGAUCAAGCUUGAGUAAGUAAUCGGAAUUUUGCGAUCAGAGUAUUGGUACGUUUGAGGUACGUGAUGGGUUGUACUGCAUUAAUCCCACGGGAUUAUGUUGUGCAUGUUUCUAGAGCUGGAACCGGAAGGUUCCCAGAGUUAGAACCUGAGGGUUCGCAGAGUUUGGGUGUACGGACCCACAGAGAUAUAGCCUCGAGUGGCUAGUAUGUGUUAUGAGAGUCGGUCCAGUCAUACUGGAGACUCUGUUGGUAUUGCUGGAUUAGUUUGAGAUUUGCGGAUCGCGUAUGUUGCAGUGUGAUUGCAUUGGAAGGUCUGGCCCCGGGUUAUUGAUCUUGUUUAGCGGAGGCAGUGAUUUUGAUGAGUGGAGAGAGUGCAUGGGAUUGAGAGCCCCUGCAAUGAGAACCAGAGUAUGUGAAUAGCAGUUACGCAAAAAGGGUGGUGUCGCUUGGGGCGAGCACCGUGGCACCGGUUGGAGUGGCAUUAUGUUCAAGAGAGUUCCGUGGAAAAGGAAAAGAGGAGGGUAUGUAACUCCGAAGGGGGUGCAAGUUCACGAAAGUGAAAGCUGCAGAGCAGAGUUUUGGUUAGAGUAUUUCGAGUAUGGUUUUGAGCAUCGUGUUCGCGGCAGUGGAGUAGGAACCCAUCCGGUUGGGAUGUCUGUUGAGGCUCAGAAGGGAUGCAUGGAGAGAGAAAAUUUUAAAUUUUCAGUGUGAAUCUGAUCAGAGUGUAGGGUGGAUGUAGUGGUUCAUCUUGGGAGAUGUUCGAGGAUAUCAUCAGUGUAUCGGGUCUUCCAACCUACGAGUGUUGGGGCUAGUUCAGCAUGUGUAUAUGAUGGCAAGAGGAGAAUUUGUGAGAGUUACUCUGGGAGUGAGAAUGGAUCUCUCAGUUGGUCUGGGAUGGACAAAGUGGGCUUUGGAUCGGGGAUCCGGUGGUUCAGGGUUUCCUAACCCUUAUGGGUUGAGUGAUCGUUGAGAUUUGGAGCAGAGUGCAUCUUGGGUAAUUUCCGAUUACAGAGAGUGAUGAGCAGUUCAGAGUUCGUACUUUAGUUGACAAAGCAGACUCAGCAGGUUAAAGAGAGUUAGUGAUCGUCUAGAGUUAACAGGAAAGUUAUGCAGGCAGACGGCGGUUCGAGCUUGAGUUUCGGGUCGAUGACUUAGUACUCCUGAAGGCCUCUCUUUGGAGAGGAGUGAUUCGAUUCGAGAAGUGGGGCAAGUUGGGGUCCCGGUUCAUUGGGCCUUUUCAUGUGAUUGCGGGGGUAGGCCGGGUGGCCUAACGGUUGUAGUUGCCCACGGAUUUGAGACAAAUCUAUGGUAUUUCAUGAGUCGCAACUGAGGAAGUGUAUAGCCGAUGAGUCGGCAGUGGUUCCAUUAGAGGGUAUUCAGGUGGAUGCAAGCUUGAAUUAUGCCGAGAAGCCAGUGGUCAUCAGAGAACGGAAGAUCGAGGUUCUGAGGAAUAAGGAGAUACCUCUGGUAUUGGUUCAGUAGCGACCUCGGAAGAUAUCGGAAGUGUUUGGGAAAGCCGAAACGUGUGAUGCGGGAGCAGCAUCCAGAACUACUUUCAGAGUGAGACUUCGAGGGCGAAGUCUAAUUCUAGUGGGGGAGAAUUGUAACAGCCCAAAAUCUCAAGUAUUGUUAAAUUGCAUUUUGGGGUGUUUUAAAGGGGAGACUCGGCGAGUUGGAGCCAGACUCGCCGAGUAGGGUCGCAGAUUUGGUCGCGGGUUCGCGACUGGACUCGACGAGUCCAGGUAUGGACUCGGCGAGUCGACGCUGUUCAGCAGAAACCCUAGCCGUUUCGUAUUGGGUCGUAUUUAAGGGUUGUUAUGUCGUCAUUUCACGUCUUUUGGCCGAUUGUGGAGAACCCUAGACGUCUGUGGCAUCUAGAACAAGCUUGAAGACCAUUAUUGACCUUGAAGAAGUUGUUAGGCAAGAAGAAGAAGAGUUUUGGCCAAAGGAAUAUCAAGAGGAUCGAGUUCUGAGGUUUGGAGACACAGAGAGGGUGUUAUUCAGGUAAUAUUUCGAAUUAUCCUCUGCUAUGUUGAUGUGUUAUGGAAUUAGGGUUUAUGAAACCCAUUUGGUGAUUUGAUGGAUUAGUAUGUUGUUAUACAAGAGUUUAUACCCUAGUAAUAGGAUGAUUAGAGGUCCAGAAGUCCCAUGAGUGUGUAUCUCGGGAAAAACGUAUCUCAGGAAGCAGUUGGAUCGACUGCAUGGCGUGGACUCGCCGAGUCGGAUGAUCAGACUCGGCGAGUAGCUUGAAGAUUCACUGGGACUCGCCGAGUUGUUCUUCAGACUCGGCGAGUGGAGUCGGGGUGGCCCCGCGAUUCUUCCAGGAGUGACUCGUCGAGUCAAAGAGGAUACUCGACGAGUAGAAGGGGAAUCUCAGAGGAUUGAAGGACGACCAGACUCGCCGAGUCGCCAGGGAACUCGCCGAGUCCAGUCGAGCUGACAUUGGACUGUUGACCAGAGUUGACUGGUGUGAUUNNNNNNNNNNNNNNNNNNNNNNNNNNNNNNNNNNNNNNNNNNNNNNNNNNNNNNNNNNNNNNNNNNNNNNNNNNNNNNNNNNNNNNNNNNNNNNNNNNNNNNNNNNNNNNNNNNNNNNNNNNNNNNNNNNNNNNNNNNNNNNNNNNNNNNNNNNNNNNNNNNNNNNNNNNNNNNNNNNNNNNNNNNNNNNNNNNNNNNNNNNNNNNNNNNNNNNNNNNNNUAUGAUGUGUGAUGGACCGGAAGGUCGGCGUGGGUAAGGCCGGAAGGUUUACCCAGCAGGGACGGAAGUCCCCUGAGACACAUGGACCGGAAGGUCGGGCCUGGAAAGGCGUAUGUGCGUAAGUUGUAUAUUGGGGAACUCACUAAGCUUCGUGCUUACGUCGUUUAUGUUAUGUUGUUUCAGGUUCUUACAGUAACGCGGGAUGGCAACGGUUCGAUUGUACACACCGAAGAAAGAGUUGUAUUUUGGAGGAUCCUGGUCUUCCAUUAUAACGAAAAAGAAACUAUGUUUUGUAAUUUGAAUGUGAAUAAGAUUUUAAACAAGUGUUUUUAAUAUUAAAGUGAUUAAUUAAAUAAAAAUUUUAUUUUUGGAAAUCUUGGUGUUACAAUUGGUAAUUCUCCCUUCUUUGAGUUUUCCAUACUAAAACGUUUUAGCAGCUUGUCCAAGUAAAUAUUCUGACUAAGUCCUAUUAGUCUCUUACAUCGGUCUCUCACUAUCCUUAUUCCCAAAAUAUAGGAAGCCUCUCCGAGGUCCUUCAUAGCGAAGUUAACAUCCUGCAGUGUCGGGAUGUCGUUUCCUAUGAGAAGUAUGUCAUCGACAUACAAUACGAGGAAGCUAAAUAUACUCCCACUGGAUUUGACAUGUACACAUGAUUCAUCUUUGCUUCGUACAAAUCCAAACUCUUUGACUUUCUCAUCAAAGCAAAGAUUGCAUCUGCGAGACGCUUGCUUAAGUCCAUAAACGGACUUCUUAAGCUUGCAAAAUCUAUUGGGAUGCUUCGCAUUGACAAAACCCUCUGGCUGAGCCAUGUAAACAUCCUCAGCCAACUUCCGAUUAAGGAAAUCGGUUUUUACAUCCAUUUUCCAUAUUUCAUAAUCAUGAAAUGCAGCAAUGGCUAGCAUCACUCUAAUAGACUUUAUUUUGGCAACUGGUGAGAAGGUCUCAUCAUAGUCAACUCCGGGAGUUUGAGUAAAGCCCUUCUCAACCAACCGCGCCUUAUAUGUCUGUACAUUGCCAUCCAUAUCGUUCUUCUUCUUGAAGAUCCACUUGCACCCAACCGUCUUACAUCCGGGCACAUGGUCAAGCAAAUUCCAUACUUGAUUGUCGUAUAUGGACUGAAUCCUACUGUCCAUCGCCUCUUUCCAUUUUGCAGACUCCGGGCCUGCCAUGGCUUUCUUAUAGUUGUUAGGCUCAUCUAAAUUUAUUAGUGUACUAUCACUAAUAUACCUCUCUUGCACUCCAACUUUUUUCUCACUCUUUCUCAUUUUCAAUCACUUCCACCACAAAUUAUCUCUCAAAUCCGUCUCUAACUAACGAAAAUCAACAUCAAAGAAGCACUUUCCACACAAAGAAUCAUCUUCUUCAAGUGUUCUUCUUAAGGUAAUCACGAAAACUAAGCAUUAUCCCUUCAUUCCCACUCAUAAUUUCACCAUUUUAUGCAUUUCUUUCUACUUCUACUCCAUUAUAUGAAAAGAUUUUGAACCACGUACCAUAACCACGAUUUUGAUGCUGAUGGUGGUAGGAUUUCACACAAAAACAUCAUGUAUGAUUAAAAUGGUGGAAUCCCAUGAUCCAAACCUAUGUCAAAUCAAAAUAAACCACUUUUAUACAUGUUUUGGCGGAGAUAUCAUAAUAUUAACCAAUGUUUUCUUUCAAAAGCGAUUUUUAAACUUUUCAAACUCAUGCAUGGCCUUAAACCAACAUGCAUGUGUUGAUCUUCAAGCCUAAGAUGUUUGGUGAUCAAAGUAUGCAGUUAAAAUGUCCACACAACUACAUGAAGUAAUUUAAAUCUACCACAGUACCUAGAACUCAUUUCUAACACCAAUCAGAUGUUUCCCUUAAUCCCACCAAUAAAAUGACAAGUACUGUUAUUUUUAGGAAAUAAUUUAAUUUUCUUGAAUUAAUAUAAUUAUUUCAAGAAAAUAAAACAAAAAAAUCAUAUAAAAUACUUUUUACAUCCAAUAAAUUCUGAGAAAAUUUGGCAACGACACAAAAACUGAUUAAAGACAUUUUAUGAAGUUUUAUUUACUUCAAAGGGCGUGUUUUGUUGAGUUCCAUUAACUUUUGACAAAGAGAAAUAAAUACUAAAAUACAUUUAUGAAUGUCCAUAACUAUAUUUGAUAAUUUUCGCAUCUUCUGAAUAUUAUAAAGAGUUGAUAAAAAAUGUAUAGAUUUUUCUAUGACAAUUUGGUAUUUUUGUCAAUUUAAUGAACUUUUAAAGGAUUAAAUUGAUAAAAUAUAGCUACACUACUCCAAAAAUAAUGAAACUUCAUCAGAACAUCUUAUAUUGCAUAUUGAUCAUAAAUAAAAAGUUUAGUGAAUUUUACCUAUAGUUUAAUAAUUUUUCAAGAAUUAAUGCUUAUUUAAGAGAAUAAAACAAAGAAAAAUAGUUAAGAUAUCUGAAAAUAACAUUUGAAAUUUCUUUCAGCUUACAUAUAUAUAUAUAUAUAUNNNNNNNNNNNNNNNNACAAAACGUUUGGAGAAUUUUCUAAACAGUUUCCAAAUUAUUUUUAUUUUUGCUAUAUUAAAUACACAAAAUUCAUAAAAUCACCUUAAUCUUUUUAAAAAGCAAGUUAUAUAUUUUUCCAAUUUAUUUCGAUAUGUGUUGGUUUAAGAUAUUAAAUAAAGGAAAAAUAUUUAAACACAUAAAAAAUUCAAGAAAACUUUUCCAGAAGACCUUCACUAUAUUUGGAAUGAAAAUAUAAAGUUUGAAGAUUUUAGGAAACAGUUUGAUAGUAUGUUGGAUUUUCUUAGUUAAAACACCUUUAAAAAUAUUAAAAUGUUCUAGAAUUAAUAAUAUAGAAUUUGGAAAAUAUCAGCUAAAAUUUGUCUUUGAACCACAUGAGAUACAAAAUUCCAGCAUUUCAGGAAAUUUUUACACCAAGUAAUUAAAAUCAAAUUCUUAAAGUAAAUUUUGGCAUUACUCUAUAUGUAGAAAUUGUAUAUUAGUAUUAGAUUUGUGACAUAGAAGGUCACUAGAAUGUGUUGUUAUCAUAGGAUCCCAGUGCUACGACAUGUAGGUGUAUCCCAAGGCAUCACUUGUAUCUUUUAAAGCAUCGUGAGUAUUCACGCCUCCACCUAUUUUCGGUUUUUAAAUGUUUUGGGGUAAAAAAGCAUGUCGUAAUUUAUUUACGGUUGUUGUAUUUAUUUUGACUCAAUUAAUCUUGGUUGCUACAUUUUGCAUGUGUGUGUAUGCUACUUUAAUUCAUGAGCACCGUAUCGCGAUUACGUCCCUGGGAUCAUUUGACACAACUCAUUAACUAUUUUGAGCCCAUGGUCAUUAUGGAUCGUGCUAUUAGAAGGUAGACAACUCCUCACUUGCACGAUUCGCUUGAAUGCAUUUUACGAUAUUUCGCUAUGUUUGUGAUACACAUAGUAGUAAAUAGGUCACGAUUCGGUCAUUUUAGCAACGAAACUUGUUUACUCGUUUUAGCAACAAACUAUAUUUCCCAUGAGAAUAUGAACUUUGCAUUUCAUUUUGGCAACAUACUUUAUUUCUUAUGAUGACAACGAACUUUUUUUUAUGCAAACUUAUUUACUCAUUUCACCUAAGUACACAUCACUUGUAGGAGCAUUCACAUGUGUUGUCUUUUAAAUACAUUGUAAUUUCUUUUAAAAAGUUGUACUAACUCAUUGUAAAUUUGUAAUGCUUUUUAAUACUAUAGUUGGUGUUGUCUUUUAACUUUUUCUAUGAGACCCUUUGUACUGUCACGCCCCGUGUUUCCGCUUUAACGGGGUGUGACCGUUCUCGUCGUGAGCUUGGUAAAAUUAGGGUUUCGAUAUCUUUUCCAUUUUUUAAAUAUGAAGCUUCAUUAAGUAUGGAUAAAUACCAAAUUUAAAAUUUUUAUUGAUAAAUAUUAUUUAAAUGUGUUUAUUUGAAUUUAAUAUUUAUUUAGUAUUUAAAUAGUGAUUUUAAAUAUUUAAUAUUGUUUAUAACAGAGAUUUAUAAAUUUGAAUAUUAACCCAUCAUGUUUUUAUUAAUUGUUAUAUUGCAUCCUUGCAAUUAAUUGGAAUUCAUAAUAGACAACUAAAUUUAAAUAGUUUUAAAUUUACCCAUUGUAUAUGUAAGAUCCAUACCUAUUAUAUGUAUAAGAGAAUUACAAUAUGCGUCCUCGUAUAUUUUAGAUAUUGGCAUUUUUCAGUCUUACCGCAACUAGGCUCAUCCAUUAUGGUGUAGGGGUUUAAGUAGGUCUCUAUGAUUCCUAAUGAGGUUGGAUUUUAAUAUGGUUCGCACUUACCACCCUCACCAACCUAUUGCAUUUUGAGAAUAGAGUUACCGAAAGGGUUUGAUAGUGAUAAUGGUCAAUCUAAAAGUAUUCUAAAUACAAGUAUAAAACAAAAUCCCAUUUUCUAUUUAAAAGUGAAUCUUGUGCUAUCCAUAAAAUUUGUACAUUCUCUUUAUAACUUGUUGAUAGGACUCAUGUGGUUAACCGACACAUCAAUUUGAGAGUAUAAGUAGAGAAUUAUGUGAGACUCGUGAAUCUCAGGUGUAACUUUAGCCAGGGACCAUGCAAUUUAUUAUGGGUGAUUCACCAUCUGUUCAAUGAUCCAUGACAUCCUUGUCAUUGAAUUCGAGAUGAACAAACUCCAAGAUUAACAUUCUAUUGAUAGCCAAUGAAUCUUAAAGAUAUAGGAAUUUCAUGGUGAUCCAAAUUGACAAAGAGUUUUGUCUACCUAAAGAACUUUGUGAUGUGUUUACGACAUCCCUUUACACAUCAUGAAGCCAAAUAUGGAUCCUAGCCUUAAUCUAAUAAUUUGAUUUAAGGAUAAUAUUUAUUAAGGAAUUUAUAUAUCAAACUAAAUUGAAUCUUAUCUUUUGUAGAUGUCGACCCCAGUUAACAACAACAACAACAAUCCUCCUCCUCCGCUUCCUCCCUUAACUCAAAACUCAAGCUUCUCUCUUAUGUCAGUUCUAAAUAGGGAAAAACUUAAUGGGGAUGGAUCCAACUAUCUUGAUUGGAUCAGGACCUUGAGAUUCACGUUGAGAUAUGAGAACAAAGGGUAUGUUCUCGAUGAUGAUGUUCCCGAACUUGGAGAGAAUGCUACACAGAUGAAGUUACUGCCUACAAUAAGCAUUACGAUGAAUCAACCAAAGUGUCUUGCCUUAUGUUAGCGACCAUGGCUUCUGGCCUCCAAAAGAACUUUGAAAAUUAAGGCGCUUAUGACAUACACCACCAUCUCAAGGAUAAGUUCCAAGAGCAGGCUGGUAAGAACGAUUCAAGAUCGUUAAGUACCUCAUGGCAUGUAAAAAACAAGAGGGAGCUUGUGUGUGUGCGCACAUCCAAAAAAUGAAGUCGUACAUAGACAGACUUGAGAAUGUAGGUGUCGAGCUGCCUAAGGAAUUACCAUUGACAUAGUCUUGAACUCACUUAGUAGUUCAUACUCAUAGUUUAUCAUGAACUUCAAUAUGGACAACCCCGAUAAGACCUUGAUGGAGUUGCAUGGCAUGCUCAAGACUGCUGAGGCGAGAAUGAAGAAACCUAACAACAACUCCAGCCCUACUGCCCUAGUAUUGGCCAUUCAUUAUGGUUCUACUAAAAGGAAAAGGUUUUGUCAUUCAAAAGGAAAGGGAAAGGGCAAGGUUGGAUUGUCUGACCAUGGCCCUAAGAGAAAGGACCAACCUGAGAUAGCUCCUUCUGUUGAUCCAAGUGAGGCCAUUUGUUUUUAUUGUCAGUCAAAGGUGUUGGGUUUUGAGCAUUCUAACACUCCUAAGUGUACAUGCAACCCUAAAUACCUUGGAUCUAUGUUUUCUCUAUUAUACAUGCAAAUAAGAAUAUCCAAGGUAUCAUCCUAAUCUAUCAUACAAAACAUGAAUAUAACAAGAUAGAAUACAUACCUCUUUGAUGUAGAAAGUCUUCAUGAAGCUUGAGUGCCUAGCCCCAAUAGUGUGGAAGCCUCAAAUGGAAUCACAGUUAUCAAAACACUUAGAAUAACUUGAGAGAGUUCUACACUUCAUGAAAUCGGCUAGCCCUCUCUAGAAUAAUCCUAGUGGCCGAUUUUUGUCAAGAAUAAGAUCAUUAUAUAGUGUUACAAUUAGGGUAAAUCCUUAAUUGUCAUGACUUUCCAUUUCCUUGGAUCCAUGGGUUCAAAUACACCAUGGAGCACCCAUGGACCAUCCUAUGGGUUUUAGCCCAACUUGAUUAUCCAUGGAGCAUUAGCCCACUAUAUAAGUAUGGAUGAUUUACACAAUCAACCCAUAUAUUUAAUUAGUCUUCUUUUGAUCACUUAAUUAAUCCUAGAUUAAUUCUUGAUCAAUACUAAUUAAACAAUCUUAUUAUUCUUAUUAUUAAUAUACUAGAACUUAUAAUAUAUUAAUAACCAUAAGUGUCUUAUUUCUCUCAUUAUAGUCUAUCUAAGUGCAUGAAGGUUUGCAACCCAAAUGGACCAUGCCGGGUCGGGUCAAGUCUUACCAAUUAUAGUUAUGGACUUAGACAUUAAUCCAACAGUCUCCCACUUGGAUAAGUCUAAAACUAUUAUUGCGUAUGACUUCAGGAACCAACCGACAAUCGUAGCUCUCAAAAGCUUCUGUCGAACUCUGACCUUGUAGAUGAACUCUGAUCUUGUCAAUGACUUGUCCAUUAGAUAAGGGAUCAUAUAAUCCUCUGUUCUCAUGAUAUCAGCCGGACAAAUACAUGGAACAACGUCGUACUUAUUGUCCAGCAGUUUGUUUCCCGAUUUUCGAUUUGUUUGACAAAGAACUUAAUCGAACACAUCAAUUCAGUUCUGACCGGCCGGUACAUAGGUCACAACAAAAUCAUCGAGGGGCCCAGAUAUCGCUUCUAUUUCUAGAAGGAACAGAUAAACUUCGACUCAUAUGCUUGUUCUACUACUUGUUGAAUUGUACACAAAGGCACGUUUUAUAACAUCAAGUUACUGAUGCGUUUACGUGCAAUCAAUGCACAACCAACUCAUAGGUAACAACUCAUAUCUCUAGGUUUGAAGAUUUAUAUGAUAUUAUCGUCUCACGAUCACUCGAGAUAAAUUCCAUGAAGUGAUACAAGUGAGCGUGGGUUUAUUCCAAUACUCAUAACUUAUGAGUACUCAUGAAUGUUGUAGCAACCAUUGCCAUGACUAAACUCAUUUAGCCAUCUACAAACCCGAUUCAUGACAGUCUUGAUUCAUACCUACUUCCAACAUAUGAACGACUGUGGAGUGUUUAAAUAACUUAGUCAUCCGGAAAGAAUAACCUAGCUAUUUUGGAAGUCAAAACAUGCAAAGUGAAAUACAAUAAUAAUCGAAUCUAAUAUGGUCUCAGAACCCUUUUGAAUAUAAAUAAAACCACUUUUUAUUUAUCACCAUAUUGAUUACACAUUAUUCAAUGUUUCAAAUAAUCAACUUAAGACUUGAAUAAAAACAACAGUCGUCCCAUGCUCCUAGCAUGUACACUUUGUUUUUCUAAACAAUAGUUAUGCCAUACCCCAAGUAUGCACACUAUGUUUGUCUAUGAUCCUUACAUUGUGAUGUAGAUCAAUUGAACAUGAUUCCAAUGAUACUCAUUUCACAAUCCCAAAUCCUUAUUGUAAAUGCAAGAAUUCCAAAUUUAUGUCAUUUACUGAAAUCUGUUAGAUUCUAAACUUAUAUGCAUUGAUCCUCUUGUAAUGAUUAUGCACAAAGUCAGAAAGACUUGACAACAACCAUUACAGAGCAUUCCAAAGGAGAUCAGCUCCUUGGGAACAUCCUUUUUGCAUUAAGUUUCCUAAUCUUACAUAGAUUGAAUCACUUCCACCUAUGGAGACAUUUCCAUAGUCCUAUUUGACUAUCACUUCCGAACAAGAGUUACCUCUUUUCAGAAAAUGUCGAUAUGGUCCUACCAAAAUUAACACUAGACUUCCAAAUGUCCCUGAGCAACCAAUCUUUGGCGAACCUCAGAUUGUCCUCGACAAUUGCUUAAUCACUUUAGUCAUAUCCAGUUCUAGACUUUUCCCUUCUAAAUGCCUUAAGCAUUUGGAAAAUUUAGAAAGGAUGAAUAUUAUAGCACAUGAAAUCGAUCCUAUAUCCGAAGCAUAUGGGAUACUAUUCAUGAUGUUUGACAUAAAGACAUGACACUAGACCAGUCUUUUGCUACAAUAUUUUUUAUUUGCCAUGUUUUCAAAAUUUAACUAUGAAGAGGGAUGCCGUAAUCAUAAUCGAAUUUUGAAAAUGCAAUAUAUAUAGAAUUUCUUCAAGUUGAACCAUUCCAACACAAAAUUCACAUAUAUUCUUGACUAAAGAUGAUUAAAAUCUCAAUCUAAGCUUUAGAAUUGACAUGAAGUAUAAUUUCCUCUCCCUUAAUUAUAGCAAAACAACUUUUCAACCCCUGCAACUUCACGGAUUGAAACUUUGUUUUCUAUAAUUAACAUUGCUAGCUUGCAAUACUAAUCAUAAUAGUCAUGCUCCCACUAACAUGAUGAUUAUCAGCAUAACACUUAUGCUCCCACUAGCUCUGACACAUUUCCAGAAAUCUGUUGGACUUCUGAAAUUUAGAUUCAUACACCCUUUCUUAGAUAGCUCACAUGUGUGUCUAAACAAUUUUCAGAACUAUGAAAAGGGAUGCCGUAAUCAUAGUCUCAAUUGCUUAGGCAUUUGCCAUUUCUCACAAGUCCAUGUUAGUGUGCCGGUUAACCACACGCGCUCCACUAAUGACUUUUGAAAAUGCAAAUGACACAAUUGAUAUCUACUUAAAAUCUAUUUAGUGAAAGCAUUUCCUCACCAUCAUUUUCAUGAAUCGGAGAGAAACCUUAUGACACUUAGAUUUAAUAGUGUAUGAGUUCCUAUCCAUGCGAAUUUGUCAAAACCAUAAUCACAAGAUAAGGUUAGUGACAAAUUCAGCCCUACAUGGAUUAAACUUAUUCAAUCUUAGUUUCUUGUCACCUUGGUAACACAAGGCCCACCAAUGCUUCCAAGUUGAACUCUGAUAACUCACAUGUAAAUUCAACUUAUUUGAAGUAGGUACAGAAAUAAGAAUUAUGUCAACACGAUAGGUUGAAAACCUUAAGUCGUGUGCUAGUGAUAAAUUACAGGUUUUACUCUUGAUUAAAUCUUGAAACUCUUUCAGGAUCUUUAAGGCUCCCACUGUCCCCUUGACAUAUAAGUUUUCCUAGUCAAGAACCAUUCCUUGAUAAAACAAAUAUUCAAGGGAUAGUGCGGAUUCUUAUCAAGACUAACACUUCACACAAUUGGUCUUAGUUGGUCUUUGUCUCAUCCAAGACAUCACAACUUACCAAUCUCAAAUGUACAAGAGUAGAAAACAUUUUACUCUUACAUUUGAUAAGUGUUUUAAACCUUCUUUAAGACAUGUCACUCAAAUUACAAUCUUGGAGUAUGACUCCAAGACUUGUAUUGGAACGAAGUAUGAUUCAUCUUCUUGAUUUAACCAUUUCAACAAUUUCAAGAUCCCUUCUUCUUAGUCAUAAGAAUGCACUAAGACUUUCUUAGAGAACAAAUUUUGAUAUGGUUUCUUAAUCAUUAAGAUGAUCACAAAGCUGAUACUAAAGUACUCUCCCGUCCUUUCAGAUUUGAGAAACUUUUAUCUUUCUGCCUAAUUUGAUUCUUCUUAUUCGUUUUCCAAUGUUACAAAAUUAUACUUAACCUUAUAAGUAUAAUCAUAUUUACUAAUCUUUAGUAAAUCAUGACAAAUCAAUCUUUGUGGUGGACCUUGACCAGCGCACACCCAGUGUACCUAAUUCCUUAGUCCUUCAAUUGACUCACAUAUACAUGUGAUCAAAGAAUUAGUCUUAAUUUUUCAAAGAUGAAAAUUCUCAUUCAUCAUACAAUACAACUUGUAUGAUUCCAAGUUUCUGUCCAAUUGAAACUUGGGUGAUGAAAAACUUUCUUCAUUUGGUAAAUUCAGACACUACCACAAAUGAAAGAAUCAAAUCCACUUUCCAAUAUUGCUAUUACUGGAAACAUAUAAGCAACAAUUUUCCACCGAUGCCAUUGUAAGGAUAUUUUUAAAAUAAAUAAAAUUAAAACCUUUUUUUCUUUUAUUUUAAAACUUUGCGGAAAAACUUAUCCUUACAAUCCACAUGAAAACCUUGUUGUUAUCUAUUCACAAGCAAUAUAUUAUAACUCUUAAGCAACAGCUCAAAAUUCUGAUUACCGAACCAUGCGAUCGAAACCCAUCUUCGCAAUCAGAAUCAGCAUAUACUUACUUUAAGCUUCCUAUCUUUUCUUUGAUUCUUAAAAGACAUCAGCAUGUGACCCAUUCACAUUAUGUAAUAAGAAUCUCCAAAUAGGAACUUAACAGAGUUAUACAGUGUAUUUUACCCGAAGUAGAGUCAAACCUCUUGACUUGAUCAACCUUAUGACCUUUCAGGUAAAUAGGGCAGCUUCGCAACCAAUGCCCCUUUCUUUGGCAAUAUAAACAUAUGGAGACCCUUUGAUAAUGGCACAUGAGACUAUUUCAGACUUAGCCUUUCUCUUUACCAUUUGGUCAACCGAGUUGACUAUGGCCGAUCCCUUUCCAUUGGGAAGAGAAAUGCUUUUCUAGAUAUCCAAUGCUACCAUUGCCAAUGUCCAUUUAAGGUUUGGGAAGUUGAUCUUCUAACAAAAUUUGCUUUACUAGUGUUCCAAAUCAUUGCUGAUUCCACAGCACAAAACAAAUAGAUAAGAUCAUUAAGGCUCGUGUCAUAGUCUGUCUCAUAGUAGUCCCAAAGUGACCCGCUAUGUUACUAAGAAAGUGAUUGAACAUCCAACUUUCACGAGACUUUGACACCCAACUCUCCCGUCUUGUCAAUAUGUGACUACAUCUCCAAGAUGUGACCACACCAAGACCUUAACUUGCCAAUAGGGCUUGAGUGACUUUAAACUUUUCAAGAACUUGUGGGUGAGGGAGAAUAAUUGGAGGAGAUAAAGGAAGUGAAGCAUGAUGUUGAGGAACAUCAUCUUCAAGAGAUUUGGGAAGAUCAUAAAUGUCUAAACCAGACAUGUUUUGGGAGAUAUUCAAGAUAGUUGAUUUAAAGUCCUUAAUAUGACACCCAAUAUGAAAUAUUAAGGCUAGGACCCAACAAACUAUUUUAUAACUUAGAAGAGGGAUGCCGUAAUCCAAGCUAUAAAAUAUUUGAAGGUAGGCGAAUGACGAUUCACCAAUUUCCACCAUGAAAAACGAAAUAAUUUAUUAGGUUUUAAUUGGAUUUGAAAUUCCUAGAUCUUUUGAGAUUCAUUGAACUUUUCAAUGGCAUGUUUCAAUCUCGAGUGUGCCCUCUCAAAUUUUGUGACUGGGAUGCCGAGGAUCACAAAACAAGGUGUGAAUAACCAUACCAAUUCACUUGGUACCCUUAAUAUUAUCACCUAAUCAAUGUGCCGGUUAACCACACACGCUCCAUUGAUCUAUGACAAACAUUAAGUCACCCUUCGUGGUCCUUACUAGUCCAAGUUAGUGUGCCGGUUAACCACACACGCUCCACCAACGACUUGGUAAGGUACAAAGUGUGAAUUCCAUGGGUUAGCACCAAAUUCACAUUUUUCCUAAAGUAACUAAGAUUGGGAAUUAUUAAGAUUUUAGUUACUUUAGUAUUUAUCAUUAAUACUUUUAAUGAAGGGAGAAUUUAAAGUCAUUGUCCUACCCGUUCGGCUAACGACCCUCCACCAGUCAAGCAAGCGGUGGGUGAGAGUAGACACCCAUUAAGUCGCCAUUUUAUAGGCAACAACCUUAUACCCACCUUAUAGACCGGCUUCGUGAAUGAGGCCUACUAACGGUAAAACGACUUGUUCUUAUACAUAUAUAUAAUAAUUAACCAUUAAUGUUAUAAAUAGUAUAAGUGUUGAAUUUUAACUUUUUUAAAAAUCUAAGGGCUAACUUGGAAUUAAAGUAUUCAUAAGUGAAAACUUUUCAAAUUCCAAAACUUGAGGGCAAGUUUUGAAACUAUUCAAAACUAAUUAAUUCCAUAACUUAUGUGUUUAAAGUAGUUUUAAUCCAAAAAACUCUUCAAGUUCCAUAACUUAUGGAAGACUUUAAACUAAUAAAAGAAUUAAUCUUUUCUUUAUUUUUAUAACUUAUGGAAUUAAUUAAGGUUACACUUUAUUUAUUUAUUUAUUUAUUAAUGAAGUGACUCUUGAAUUUCCAUAACUUGAGGACAAGUUAUGGAGUCAUAAAAAAAAAUUAAAUGACACAAGACUCUUCAUUUUGUAACCAUUACCAACUUUUAUGAGUUUUAUGAGUCUUUAAUGUGACUCUUCAUGUAACUUGAGGACAAGUUACACAAACACAUUUUGUACUCAACUCUUAGAUUAAAAUGGAUUGAAAACAACUAUUUCAAUUAACUUUUCUAUUAAUCUAAGCAACUCAUAAGAACAAGAUAAUUCAUAUCAAACUUCUUCAUGUAAUUAGUCUAAACCUUAAACUAAUACAAAACAUGAAUCUAUUGACAAUUAUCUUUGAAAAUGGAUUAGCAUGAACAUUACCACAUUAAAAAACAAGUUUAUAAGUUCAAAAACAACGUAGGGUAAUGUUCCUAGUCCAUUUCUAGCCAAAAACCUCGAAAAUAUGCUGUCUGGGGUCCAACUCGUCGAGUGCAUGAACAUAACUCGGCGAGUUGGAUGAAUUUUGCCUUGGACUCGUCGAGUCCCUUCAUGGACUCGGCGAGUCUGCUGGGCUGACAGCAUCACAACUCGAUUUUUCAGCUCCAUUUGCAAGUAUAACAAGAAAACAUGCCUAGGCUCUGAUACCACUGUUGGGUUUUGAGCAUUCUAACACUCCUAAGUGUACAUGCAACCCUAAAUACCUUGGAUCUAUGUUUUCUCUAUUAUACAUGCAAAUAAGAAUAUCCAAGGUAUCAUCCUAAUCUAUCAUACAAAACAUGAAUAUAACAAGAUAGAAUACAUACCUCUUUGAUGUAGAAAGUCUUCAUGAAGCUUGAGUGCCUAGCCCCAAUAGUGUGGAAGCCUCAAAUGGAAUCACAGUUAUCAAAACACUUAGAAUAACUUGAGAGAGUUCUACACUUCAUGAAAUCGGCUAGCCCUCUCUAGAAUAAUCCUAGUGGCCGAUUUUUGUCAAGAAUAAGAUCAUUAUAUAGUGUUACAAUUAGGGUAAAUCCUUAAUUGUCAUGACUUUCCAUUUCCUUGGAUCCAUGGGUUCAAAUACACCAUGGAGCACCCAUGGACCAUCCUAUGGGUUUUAGCCCAACUUGAUUAUCCAUGGAGCAUUAGCCCACUAUAUAAGUAUGGAUGAUUUACACAAUCAACCCAUAUAUUUAAUUAGUCUUCUUUUGAUCACUUAAUUAAUCCUAGAUUAAUUCUUGAUCAAUACUAAUUAAACAAUCUUAUUAUUCUUAUUAUUAAUAUACUAGAACUUAUAUUAUAUUAAUAACCAUAAGUGUCUUAUUUCUCUCAUUAUAGUCUAUCUAAGUGCAUGAAGGUUUGCAACCCAAAUGGACCAUGCCGGGUCGGGUCAAGUCUUACCAAUUAUAGUUAUGGACUUAGACAUUAAUCCAACAAAAGGGACACUAGAAGCAUAGUUUUCUUAUGUAUCUGGAUGACCUUAAGAAGGGAAAAGUCAAGGUGACUGGCACCUCAGGUAUGUUUAUGAUACAAUUCCACAACACAUCUACUUCAAACUCUUGGAUUCUUGAUAUAGGAUUUGGUACUCAUAUUUGCUCUGAUAUGUAGGGUCUAAGACAAAGUAGGAAGUUGAGGCAUGUUGAGCGCAACCUGAUCAUGGGAAACAGGCACAAGUAAGGUUUUACAAGGAUUGGGAACUAUGAGUUCACGCUUGGUGGUGGUGUUUAUCUUAUGUCUGUUCAUGCACUUUAUAAGGAUGGUUAUCAUUUAUCUGUUGACAAUGAUAAUGGUGAUAUUUUGGUUUAUAAGAAUGGUUGUUUUAUUUUCAAAGCUAGUCCUUGUAAAGCUAUGUAUGAAAUUGUUGUUUGCAUUGGUGAAAUUGAUAAACUAUAUUUGAAUGCUCGUUCCUCUAAUAGUGAACUAGAUAAAUCGUGUGUUUGGCAUGGUCGACUUAGCCAUAUAAAAAAAGUGAAUCACCAAAAUCCAAUCGGAUGCAAUCUUGGAAUCAUUUAACCUCAAAUCAAGUGAUGUACGUGAAUCUUGCUUACUCAGCAAGAUGUCAAAAGCAUCAUUCAUAGGGCACUGUGAAAGAAGUAAGGAUUUGUUGGAUCUCAUACACACAGAUGUUUUUGGACCAUUUACAAUCCACCACAAGACAUGGAGAAAGAUACUUCGUAACUUUUAUCGACUAUUUUAGCAAAUAUGGAUAUAUCUAUCUAAUUAAGCAUAAGUCAGAAACCUUUGAGGUGUUCAAAGAGUUUCAAAAUAAAGUAGAGAACCAAUUAGGCAGAAAGAUCAAGAUGCUUCGAUUCGAUAGGGGUGGAGAAUAUUUAAGUAUUGAAUUCUAUGAUCAUCUUAGGAAUUAUGGAAUAGUUUCACAAUUGUCUCCUCCCAGAACACCACAGUUGGAUGGUGUGGCUGAGAGAAGAAAUCUAACGCUAUUAGAUAUGGUUCGAUCUGUUAUGAGUCGAGCUACACUUCCAAUAUCUUUAUGGGGGUAUACCUUAGAGACAACUGCCCACAUCAUAAACCUCGUACCCACUAAGAAAGUUGCAA